rnacentral:tRNA from 29 species
AGCGGGUUUGUGUAAGGGUAGCACAGCAGACUCUGACUCUGUAUGUGAGGGUUCGAAUCCUUCACCCGCUGCCA